rnacentral:rRNA from 1 species
UUUUGGAGCGAUUUGUCUGGUUAAUUCCGAUAACGAACGAGACUCUAGCCUGCUAACUAGUUCGCCGACAGCUCGUUGUCGCGCGGCGUCACUUCGGUGGCAAACUUCUUAGAGGGACAGGUGGCGUUUAGCCACACGAAGUAGAGCAAUAACAGGUCUGUGAUGCCCUUAGAUGUCCGGGGCCGCACGCGCGCUACACUGAAAGAAUCAACGUGGAUGUACACCUGCUCCGAGAGGAGUGGGAAACCCGAUGAAUCUCUUUCGUGAUGGGGAUUGGGGCUUGUAAUUGUUCCCCAUGAACGAGGAAUUCCCAGUAAGCGUCAGUCAUAAGCUGGCGUUGAUUACGUCCCUGCCCUUUGUACACACCGCCCGUCGCUACUACCGAUUGAAUGGUUUAGUGAGACCCUCGGACUGGAGUCCGUCUGCCUCCUGGCGGACGGAGACGGAAAGACGGUCGAACUUGAUCAUUUAGAGGAAGUAAAAGUCGUAACAAGGUUUCCGUAGGU